rnacentral:misc_RNA from 1 species
CAACAGUAUAUCAAUGUAACAUCUUACAAAAUACUCGUGAUGGUUUGCUGUACAAUUAAUGUACAAAAGCACUACACUGUACAACUGAGGUUAACAUGAAUUACACAGGAAACCAUGUUAAUACUGAACUAUAUAGGAAGCAGUUAGGCAGAUGACUACCACCAAAAGAUGUGUCCUCCGCCCCUAUGGUUCUGUUCUUGGUUUCACUAGCACCACCAAGCACAUGCGUCCUGUACGCCAAACGAAAAGUUUACUAUAUCCUAUAUGCCCAGCCAUGCCUAUCCAAAAACGCCCGUACAGAUUCUUUUAUGGCCAGGUUUGGCACCAACUGGGACGGCAAAAGUGGUUCUCUUGUGAUUGGAUCAAAUUUUCCCACCUUUUGCAAAUGCUCAAGGAUCACAGCCCGCUCAUAUGUAAACCCACUCGGAGUAAUAACAGGGUCACGAAAAAUAUCAAGACUAAUUUUACAACACAAGUAAUCGGGAACCUCAGUUGGAGUAUCAUCUGCUGCAGCUUUCACGAAAACCUUACCUAGAGCUUUCAGUUGCUUAAAAAGCGCCGUUGAUUUUUCAUCUUUGAACCCUUCUGUCUGAGAACUGUCAAGCAUAUGUCUCUCCUUGAGAGCUGACUCACAUGAUUCUUUCAAGUUCUGAAGCUCCCAGGAGCGCCUUGUAGAUUCAUGCUCCCACUCCAUGUACUUUGCUUUAGCAAGCUCUUCCCAGAUCUCUCCAACAAUAUAUCUUCCUGGAUUCACACCUCUUCCAAGGUCUAAUGCCUUUUCCAAUUCUCUCACACCUUCACCAAAUGCUUCCUUUUGUAGCAAUGCAAGACCAAGAUAAUAGUGGGCCUUUACAGAAUUAUGAUCGAGCUGAAUCGCCCUCCUGCAAUCUUCCUCCACUCUUCUCCAGUCAUUCCGCCUCCGAUGACAUAGAGCACGAUUUGUCCAAUAUAUCGGAACAUUAGGGCACAAAGUAAUAGCCUCGGUAUAAGCAUCAAUGGCAGCGCCAAACCGAUUCUUCUGAAAAUAAUUGUUCCCAUCUUGCUUUAGUUGUUCCGCUUGCUUUGAACCCACGAUUGGUGCCAUUACUCCUCUACUUUUUCUUUUCCUCUACGAUCUUGAAACUACCACAAAGUUCUUAGAAUCUGUAUAAUCAAUUGCUACCCUCUUAUACACACGAAAUUUGCUUCAGAAUAAAGGUCGGAAAAUUGAAAAAGUAGCCGGCGGGGAGGGGCGGGAG